rnacentral:rRNA from 1 species
UACGGAGGGGGCUAGCGUUGUUCGGAAUUACUGGGCGUAAAGCGUACGUAGGCGGCUUUGUAAGUUAGAGGUGAAAGCCCGGGGCUCAACCCCGGAAUUGCCUUUAAGACUGCAUCGCUUGAACGUCGGAGAGGUGAGUGGAAUUCCGAGUGUAGAGGUGAAAUGCGCAGAUAUCAGGAAGAACACCCGUGGCGAAAGCGGCUCUCUGGGACGGUACUGACGCUGAGACGCGAAAGCGUGGGGAGCGAACAGG